rnacentral:rRNA from 1 species
CACGUGGGUAACCUGCCUGUAAGACUGGGAUAACUCCGGGAAACCGGGGCUAAUACCGGAUGGUUGUUUGAACCGCAUGGUUCAGACAUAAAAGGUGGCUUCGGCUACCACUUACAGAUGGACCCGCGGCGCAUUAGCUAGUUGGUGAGGUAACGGCUCACCAAGGCGACGAUGCGUAGCCGACCUGAGAGGGUGAUCGGCCACACUGGGACUGAGACACGGCCCAUACUCCUACGGGAGGCAGCAGUAGGGAAUCUUCCGCAAUGGACGAAAGUCUGACGGAACAACGCCGCGUGAGUGAUGAAGGUUUUCGGAUCCUAAAGCUCUGUUGUUAGGGAAGAACAAGUGCCGUUCAAAUA